rnacentral:rRNA from 1 species
AACGCGAAGAACCUUACCUACUCUUGACAUCCAGAGAACUUAGCAGAGAUGCUUUGGUGCCUUCGGGAACUCUGAGACAGGUGCUGCAUGGCUGUCGUCAGCUCGUGUUGUGAAAUGUUGGGUUAAGUCCCGCAACGAGCGCAACCCUUAUCCUUUGUUGCCAGCGGUUCGGCCGGGAACUCAAAGGAGACUGCCAGUGAUAAACUGGAGGAAGGUGGGGAUGACGUCAAGUCAUCAUGGCCCUUACGAGUAGGGCUACACACGUGCUACAAUGGCGCAUACAAAGAGAAGCGACCUCGCGAGAGCAAGCGGACCUCAUAAAGUGCGUCGUAGUCCGGAUCGGAGUCUGCAACUCGACUCCGUGAAGUCGGAAUCGCUAGUAAUCGUAGAUCAGAAUG